UACGUAGGGGGCAAGCGUUGUCCGGAAUCAUUGGGCGUAAAGCGCGCGUAGGCGGCCAGAUAAGUCCGGUGUGAAAGUCACAGGCUCAACCUGUGAAUGCCGCUGGAAACUGUCUGGCUUGAGUCCGGAAGGGGCGAGUGGAAUUCCUGGUGUAGCGGUGAAAUGCGCAGAUAUCAGGAAGAACACCCGUGGCGAAAGCGGCUCUCUGGGACGGUACUGACGCUGAGACGCGAAAGCGUGGGGAGCGAACAGG
rnacentral:rRNA from 1 species